rnacentral:rRNA from 1 species
CCUACGGGCGGCAGCAGUGGGGAAUAUUGCACAAUGGGCGCAAGCCUGAUGCAGCCAUGCCGCGUGUGUGAAGAAGGCCUUCGGGUUGUAAAGCACUUUCAGCGGGGAGGAAGGCGUUAAGGUUAAUAACCUUGUCGAUUGACGUUACCCGCAGAAGAAGCACCGGCUAACUCCGUGCCAGCAGCCGCGGUAAUACGGAGGGUGCAAGCGUUAAUCGGAAUUACUGGCCGUAAAGCGCACGCAGGCGGUCUGUCAAGUCGGAUGUGAAAUCCCCGGGCUCAACCUGGGAACUGCAUUCGAAACUGGCAGGCUAGAGUCUUGUAGAGGGGGGUAGAAUUCCAGGUGUAGCGGUGAAAUGCGUAGAGAUCUGGAGGAAUACCGGUGGCGAAGGCGGCCCCCUGGACAAAGACUGACGCUCAGGUGCGAAAGCGUGGGGAGCAAACAGGAUUAGAUACCCGUGUAGUC